GAUUAGAGACCCUGGUAGUUCCUACCUUAAACGAUGCCGACAGGAGUUUGUCAUUUGUUAUGGCAGAAUCUUUGGAGAAAUCAUAGUUCUUGGGCUCUGGGGGAACUACGACCGCAAGGCUGAAACUUGAAGGAAUUGACGGAAGGGCACACCAGGGGUGGAGCCUGUGGCUUAAUUUGAAUCAACACGGGGAAACUUACCAGGACCAGAUGUUUUUUAUGACUGACAGGCUUCGGGUCUUUCAGGAUAUUGUUUUUGGUGGUGCAUGGCCGUUGGUGGUGCGUGGGUUGACCUGUCUAGCGUUGAUUCAGCUAACGAGCGAGAUUAUCGCCAAUUAUUUACUUUGCCGAAGUCCUUCGGUUAAAGUUCUAAUUGGGACUCCCUGCGAUUUUAGCAGGUGGAAGAGGGUAGCAAUAACAGGUCCGUGAUGCCCUUUAGAUGCUCUGGGCUGCACGCGUGCUACAAUGUUAGGAUCAAUAGGACUGCGAGCCUGAGAGGGUGCGCUACUCUUAUAAUCCCUAACGUAGUUGGGAUUGACGUUUGUAAUCAGCGUCAUGAACCAGGAAUCCCUUGUAAAUGUGUGUCAACAACGCACGUUGAAUACGUCCCUGCCCUUUGUACACACCGCCCGUCGCUCCUACCGAUUGGAUGACUCGGUGAAAUCACCGGAUGCUUACGAGCAGAAAGUGAUUAAAUCACGUUAUCUAGAGGAAGGAGAAGUCGUAACAAGGUAACGGUAGGUGAACCUGCCGUUGGAUCAGUU
rnacentral:ncRNA from 1 species